CCUACGGGGGCUGCCGUGAGGAAUUUUGCGCAAUGGGGGGAACCCUGACGCAGCAACGCCGCGUGGGUGAUGAAGGCCUUCGGGUCGUAAAGCCCUGUCGGGCGGGAAGAACUUCCCUUCGGGGAAUGACGGUACCGCCAGAGGAAGCACCGGCUAACUCCGUGCCAGCAGCCGCGGUAAUACGGAGGGUGCAAGCGUUAUUCGGAAUUACGGGGCGUAAAGGGCGUGCAGGCGGGGGAGCAAGUCUGAUGUGAAAGCCCGGGGCUUAACCCCGGAAGGGCAUUGGAAACUGCUUGUCUUGAGUUCUGGAGAGGAAGGGAGAAUUCCCGGUGUAGAGGUGAAAGUCGUAGAGAUCGGGAGGAACAUCAGUGGCGAAGGCGCCCUUCUGGACAGCAACUGACGCUGAGACGCGAAAGCGUGGGGAGCAAACA
rnacentral:rRNA from 1 species